CUGAGACAACAGGCUGAGGAACUGCAAGAAGUGGGCACUGGGCUGAAAGAACUAAUUCCCAAAGCAGCCAGGAGCAGGCGUCACCUAGUGGACCCCUGCCCCAUUCAGUGCACAAGAUGGAUCUGAUCUGGAGAUGAAUCAGGAUUAUGUAGUCAAGGAGGCUGUUGUCUGUAGGACCCCUGCUUCAUUGUUACAGAAGUUGGAAGGAGAGUACCUAUUUGUGGUUCUGUGAGAUGAGUCUAAGCUCACUCAAAGCUUAAGGCCCUCCCUCUUAGCUGGGAGGGAGGGGCCCGUGAACCCAGGUCACAACUGAAUACUGGGGAUGGCAAAUGAGAAACCAGAAGCAGGAGUGAAGGUCAUAGGGUGAAAAUCAGAUGGCUGGAAGGAGACACCAAACAAAGAACCACAGACAGCAUCUGCGUCUCCUCCAAGCCAGUGGACACUGCCCAGAGGAACUCUACCUGUUGGAAGGAGAGUGCUGAAUGAGUCAGGGACUUGCAGGAAGAGAAAGAAUGAUCUCAGGGUUAAGACAGUUGCAUACUACACUGAAGAAUUGGAUUCUAUCCCUGCCUCUGCCACAGAGUUCCCAUGUGAUACUGGGAAGAUACUUAAACCAAAGUUUCCACAGGAACACAAUUGUGUGCUCCUUAUUUUCUGGGUACCUGACUUGAGAUUCUGGAGUCCAAUUUGUGGAAGUGCUGAGUGCUCACAGCUGCAACUGAAAUCAGUGGGAGCUGUGCUGUGAACAUAUUCAGUGCUAUAUAAUGCAAGUACUCUGAAAUAUCAGGCCCUUGGGAUUUUAAAUGGAGCACCCAAAAUUAGUAGAUGCCUUUUGGCCUUAAUUUCUUGGUGCCUCAGCUCCCCCAUCUGUAGAGCAGGGAUAUCACCACCCCU